UGUACAAUAUUUUAUUUGAGUACAACUUGAUGGCAGUCAGCACAUUGAGCCUCUGCAUAACUCUAUUCCUGAUGUUACAGCAAAAGAGAGUGAAAAACUGGUAUGAAAUAUACAUUAUGCACUUUUCAUCAGAUGAUUGUGAUCAUAAAUAUUGAUUGUUCUUUAUGAUGUGGAUAGUGUUUUACUGAGACUUUCUUGAUUAGAUAUUGAAAUUUUACAAUGAUUUGCUCAAGUAUGACACAAUUGUACGUGAUCGACUAUUUGCUCUUGCAUGUCCAUGUAUAACAAUGCAUCUGUGAAGCUGAACACAUUUUUUUUUUCUUUCUCCUUUUGGAGUAUCGUUGACUAAAUUCAUAUAGUAAAAUAGGCAUCUCAUACAAGGUACCAAUCACAAACAAAUAGGGUUACUGGGGAUUUAUUUAGCUAAUUAACUAGUAGUUUAAACGAUUUCAUUAUGAUUUUAAUAUUGGACUGACAAAUUUCUACUUGUUUGCUGGUUUCCACAUUUGGUGUGGGAGGAGGUUCUUUCACUAACUACUGAGAAAGAAUUUGCUCAAGCCUCAGAAAGAGUGAAGUCUGUGGAUCUGCAUCCAACUGAGCCAUGACCCUGGAGAAGUCCAUCAAUGUCACUGAGUCACCAGACAUGGAACAUUGGCUCUUCUGCCCCGAAUUUUACACUACAAGGCCACUCAAAAGGAGUGAAUUGUAUUGAUUACUUCAUUCACAGGGAUAAGACUUACCUGUUAAGUGGUUCUGAUGACUUCACUGCCAAG
rnacentral:lncRNA from 1 species